CUGGCCUGGGGUCCCCUUUCUACAUCAUGGAAUACACUGCCUUCUUGUGUGGAUCGUCUUUCACCAGCUUCCUUGCACUACACUGGGAAGGGCCAUCAUCUGCAUACCUGUGUAGGUGGAGAAUUUAACGUUAGCAUGUAGUGUUGUGAAUUCGUCACGUGCGCUUGCCCUGGCAUUUCUGUUUUUUUGAGUUUUGUUGUUGUUUUUACUUUUUCCCUUCGUAGGGUCUCAAGGUAUUAACUCUGGUGAGCCAGUAACUCAGGGAUCUGGCAGCUGAGUGCUGAGGGUUAAGCUGAGGUCCACCACACCGUGCCUCUGUUGUCUCCAAAGGGACUACUCUGACUGGUGGCAUAGAAUCACACUGCUUUUUUAUUAUUAUAUUUCCUAAAGAUGAUGACUUUCUUCAAGUGUUUAUUAGUCAUUUAUACCUCUGAGGACUCUGUUCAAUUUAGUUCCUAUUGGUUACUUUGUUUCAAGUUUUGAGUUCUUUAAAUAUUGUAGUUAUUAGUCCCUGGUAACAUAAAUACAAGCUGUCUUUCUUCACUUUUGUUUGCUUCAUUUGGUUGUAGCCCUAAUGCAAUCCUGUGUGUCAGUUCUCGGUAUUACCUAUGCUGUUGAAGCCAUUACCAAAAAUCUUGCCUGUCUGUGGCUAGAGAUGCAUUUCUACCCUUACCAGUUUUAAAGUUUCUGGUCUCAGGGUUUUGUUUUUUAUUUUUUAAAAUACAUUUUAAUUUGUGUGAGUGCUUUUCUGCAUGCAUCUCCAUGGACCACAUGUUUGCCUGGUGCCCUUGGAACCAGAAGAGGGCAGCAGAUCCCCUGGAACUGGACAGAUGAUUGUGAGCUGGCCUGUGGGUGCUAUAAACUAAUCCUGGGUCCUCUACAAGAGCAGCCAGCGCUCGUAACCACUCAGCGAUCUGGCCCUUUAAUUCAUUUUGAGCUGGUUUUAUGACAGAUAAGAGAUUAGAUUGUCUUAGUUGUUAGUAAGGUUUUUAUUGCUGUGAAGAGACACUGUGACCAUGCAGCUCGUAAGGGAAAGCAUUUUACUGGGGCUGGCUUUCAGUUCAGCAGUUCAGUCCAUUGUCACCUUGGCAGGAAGCCAGGUGGCACAUAGGUAGGUAGACUUGAUGCCCCCAGUGGUAACUUCCUUCACCAAGGCCACACCUUCUAAUAGUGUCAUUCUCUAUGAGCAAGCAUUCAAAUGCAUGCGUCUGUGGGAGCCUAUUCCCACUCCCAUGGCAUCCACUUUCAUUGUAAUUUACAGGAAUAUCCAGCUUUCCCAGACAUGGUGUAGAAAAAGUGUCUUCAGUGCAUGUGUUGUAUAUGGGGCGGUUGGGGAUAUAACGUAACAGAGCUUUCAUAGCCUGAUUCCAUCACUAGCACCAUAAAAAGAAGAGAGGACUGAGAGUGCAUUCUGCAGUCUAUCUGUUCCAUUGGCUGUGUGCUGAGACUCUGACACAGUUUGAAAUGAGAAUGUUACUGGAGGGGCUGGUCAGAUGGCUCAGAGGUUAAGAGCACUGACUGCUCUUCCGAAGGUCCUGAGUUCAAAUCCCAGCAACCACAUGGUGGCUCACAACCAUCUGUAAUGAGAUCUGAUGCCCUCUUCUGGAGUGUCUGAAGACAGCUACAAUAAAUAAAUAAAUCUUUAAAAAAAAAAAAAAAGAAUGUUACUGGAAUUCUGAUGAUGGUCAUUAUAUCUGCGAGCCACAGUGCUAACUCAUGAGUAGGUCUGUGCAUUUUGUAGUGACUUCAAGUAGAUGUCUCCUCACCUCUCUGCUCGAGUUCCCAGGGCUUCACUCCCCUGGCACUUUGGGAGUGGGAGGAGAGCAUCAUGACUAGGGUUUUCUUCUCAGAGGAAUCAUUGUUGGUCUAUAGAAAACCAUCACUGGCCAGGCCAGCCUGCUCUACAUGGUGAGAUGGGGGUUUUUGUUUUGGUUUUUCCCUUCCCUUAUGGCUUUAAGAAUUUAAACACCAUAUCCAAAAAAAAAAAAAAGUAAGGAGCACAUAGCUUGAGUUGAGCCUUCUCAGAGUGAGUGAGCCUGGCUGUGGGCGUGGUCUUUAGUGUGCUGUUGACUUCAGUUGCAAGAAUUUUUAUUGACAAGUCUUCUGCCUGCAGCACCAGGGAAGAUGGGAGUCCUUACCUGGACUUUGCCUGGUAGCAAAGUUAACCCUGGCUCAGUGUAGUGAGUUUGCUAGUGUCUUUUCCUGUCUGUGUGGAGUAGUUUGACCAUGCAGAUCGUCUCAGGUCUGCAGGAAUGUGUCUGCACAGUCGUGGGUUUUCCCUUAGUGCUGACAUCAUUGCUCACUCUAGAUCUGUUGGAGUUAUCACAGCCUUGAUUUCAUUUCAGCUGAUUGUAUAUAUCUAGGGAUUUAUCCAUUUCACCUUGAUCUUCCAAUUUGGGGAACAUAAAAUUUCAAAGAAUCCAUUGAUUGUAAAACCCCUGCUGCUUCAGUCUGACUCACCCCCCCACACACCCCACCCCACCCCACCCCACCCGCUGAUUUCCUUUACUUGUGCUGAGAGGCUUUGAUGGCUUAAGUUUAGUGAUGUUUUAAAUGGAAAUAGUAAAAGUUGUAAAGGUAACAUUAGAGCUGUGUCUGUUGUGUCCAGAGAGCUCUGAAAUGUUGUAGUUUUUAUUUCUUCAUUGACCACUGUUACUCAAGACUGUAUUGUUCAGUGUUUGUGUAGUGUGUUACCUUCUUGUCCAAGUAACAAAAAUCCCCACAGAAGCACCUAUAAGAGGCUUAUAUCCUGUUCAUGAUUUAAGGGGAUACGGUCCAUCCCAGCAAGGGAGGUAUGUGUGAUGACUGGGCCUUGACUCUAGUGGUGGAAACUUGAGACACGGCUUGCUCUGAGCAUCAGGAAACAGGGUCUUUCCGUACACCGCCACCAUCGCCCCAGGGGGACCCCUCCCUCCCUGUAGGCCUCACCUCCUAAUGCCUUCAAAAUUUGGAAAACAGAGCCACCAGCUGGGGGCCAAAUAUUUAUACACACAAGCCUAUGGGGCAUUUCUUACUCAAACCAAGACACACAGGCUCUGUAGUUCUUACUCUCUCAUCUCUGCUUCUGUUCCCACAACCUGAUAAAGUGCAUGACGUUAUCUCAGGGAUCUUUAAGACUUCCUUUAUCACCUGAAAUGUGAUGUGGUUGAAUUUUCUUAAAACUUCACAGACUGCUGAGAUGAAUGUGUAUUCUGUAGCUGUUGGGAUAUUCUGUGCACAUGUACUUUUUUAGUCUACAUCACCUAAAUUUAGCUGGGUUUUGCACAUCUUUAAUCCCAGUACUGGGGAGGCAGAGACAGGCAGAUUUCUUGAGUAUAGCCAGGGCUAUACAGAGAAACCCUGUCUCAAAAAAUGUCGUCUACGUUUACUUAGAUCUGUGGUUCUCAGCCCCUUGUGGGCAUGACACUUUCACAGGGGUCAUAAGACCAUCAGAAAACACCAAUUAUGUUGUGGUUUUUAACAGUAGCAAAAUUACUGUUAUGAAGUAGCAAUAAAAAUAAUCUUUUUGGUUGAGGGUCACCAAAACAGGAACUGUUUUGAAGUGUCACAGCAUUAAGAAGGUUGAGAACACCUGCUUUAGAGUCUCCCAGUUUGUUCCAGUAGAGAGAAGUCUCUAGUGUGCUGGAAAAUGAGGAAACAGAGUCCUGGGCUAGGUGGUGAGAACCAAGCUCAACACUUUGAUGUCCCACUCGCCCUGGGAUGUGGGGCUGCAGAAAUCUAGUGCUCUGUUGGAAUAUGGGUUAUCCUCACCAGAGCAGCAGGACUGCCAUCCACUGUGUCCCUACCUCAACUCAGCCUGUCUAACCAGACUCCAGACCUACCUCAUACAGCAGUCCCCAGACUGGGGUGUGGCCAUUCCUAGUCAAGCCUUCAGAGCAACUACUUCUCACCUAGAACCACCUCUAGUUCUGAGCCCUUGGAGACACAAGAGGGGCAGGGAUGUCUGUUCCUGCUGCUGCCCUAUCAUACUCAAGCAGGCACUGGGAUGCCAGGCCCAGCACUUAAGGCUUGAGAGCGCCUUGUUUUCACCAGACCACUUGCUGCAUGGGAGGUGGAACGAGGUUCCCACUGUCACUGCUUGUGCCUUCCAGCUGUGCUGGCAUCGGUCUGAUCUGAGCUGUGAUGCUGCUCCUUAUCGCUCUGACUCUUCCUGGUGAGCAUCAGAGAGACAUUAUGUAAGCUGCUAGCUCACCGUCCACAGGUGUGCCGAGCCACCGCAGUGUGGCUGCAGCUUCUGAUUUGUACACUUGGCUGAAAUGAACAGAAUCUGGUUUGGUUGUUUUUCCUCUGAGACAGUUGUAAAAAUAUUUUCAUGGUAACAAUCUCAGUGAAGUAAUUUUAGCAAAGCCAGUGUGCUCUUCAGUCUAAUGUAGAAGAAACACAGAGCGACAGAGUUGACACUGUAAAGGAUUUCCUAGAAGAGUUGCUAAGGAGACAUUAGGUCACAAGUGGGGUUUAGCCAAAGCAAUGUUACCUCCCAAAUACUAGAAGGUAAGUAGUGUGAACGAGGCCUGCUAGAGAGAAUUUAGGAUGCUGGGAUGUAAAUGUCUGUUCAGGAUUCAUCCUAUUAGACUCCACUCCCAUAACCAAGGAGACAUCCUGACUUAGAACCAGCAGCUAGGGCCAGUCCUAGAACACAAGAUAUACCUUCAAGGAGCAACAUCCGUCUAGUCCCCGUGAGCAGGGUGACUCUCUCUGGGUGACAACUGUUGAGAAAAUACCUGUGUGCUUAAAGUAUGUGAUAUCUCUUCUGUGUGGAACCCCCCCCCCCCAUUUGCCUAAGUGGCCAGACUGGCUGUCUCCUGUCUGUAUAAUUUGUUCAGAGUGUACCUUACCUUAGGCCCAGGCACAAGAGAGACUGAAGAGUGAGAGCGUGCGUGGACUGAACAAGUCUUCCCUUUGUGUAUUUAGUGACAUCCGCCACAGUCUGCCUCGGGCUAUUUUAGUAUUUCAGUAAAGAGCUUUCUUCUUGUUUUCCCCAAGUGUGGGGAGUGAGUUUGCACUGGGGAAGUAGAUUUCUUCAACAUGGUGAUAUGUGUCACAGAGGUGACAAUGUGUGGAUUGCUUGGCAAACACUGAGUGCUCCCACCUUGGAGAUUCUGGGAUCUUUUCACAUUGAAAAGCUCAUGUUGAGCCUACCAUAGUGGCUCGUGCC